GUGGGGAAUAUUGGACAAUGGGCGAAAGCCUGAUCCAGCAAUGCCGCGUGAGUGAAGAAGGCCUUCGGGUUGUAAAGCUCUUUUACCCGGGAAGAUAAUGACUGUACCGGGAGAAUAAGCCCCGGCUAACUCCGUGCCAGCAGCCGCGGUAAUACGGAGGGGGCUAGCGUUGUUCGGAAUUACUGGGCGUAAAGCGCACGUAGGCGGUCUUUUAAGUCAGAGGUGAAAGCCCGGGGCUCAACUCCGGAAUUGCCUUUGAAACUGGAAGACUUGAACACGGGAGAGGUGAGUGGAAUUCCGAGUGUAGAGGUGAAAUUCGUAGAUAUUCGGAGGAACACCAGUGGCGAAGGCGGCUCACUGGUCCAUUACUGACGCUGAGGUGCGAAAGCGUGGGGAGCAAACAGGAUUAGAAACCCUUGUAGUCC
rnacentral:rRNA from 1 species